CAGUCACCAGGGUUGUCAGUCCCCGGGGCUGCCAGUCCCCGGGCCGCCGCUGCCACCCGCAGGACUUGGGGUCGGGCACACGGCGUCUCACUGCCCCGAGCGCUGACGGGCGCCCUGUGCCCCGUCUGCAGGGGUAGAACCGAUCCCCCUCAGGUUCCAGAGGGGACGAGGCGUUACCGGGGCGGUGACAAGCGUGACGUCCGUACAACGGUUGCGUUGAAGCUGUAUGAGUUACACCUGCGUCACCGCUGAAGCGCUGACCUCACCGGAGGGACCGCGACAACAGGGACGCCGGAGGAAGCGGGCGGGCGGCUCCCGCCACUUCUCGUCCAGCCCCGUGCAGAUCCCAGGGGUGCCGCUGGCGGCCCAGGGCUGGGGCCGUGGCUGUCGCCUGCUCCGCCUGAGGCCCAGGGGCCCGCUCAGCCUCUCAGAGCUGUCGGACGGGGGGAAAUCUGUAGUUCAUUUCCCUUCUUGUCCCAUCACAGUACAAAUGCAAGUGCUCCUGCUGCAGAACUCGCGUCACGUUGCUGCCCCUGUUUUGCUCCGUGCUUUGCUGAGCGCUGAAGGGUGUCCGUGAGUUUUGGCCUGUAUGGUGUCAUAGCGGGUCUCUUGGGUGGAAGUGGGAAAGCACAUGAGCAUUUCAGAGACUUCUCAAGGAGAGAAGUUUCGGAGGUUUCUCAAGGAGACAGAUCUGCAUCAGUUCACGUGAGGCUCAGCUUGUAUUUUGAAGGUGUGUGGCUGUAAAAGCUAGAGAUGUACUCCUUUAAAAUGAAAGAAGAGGUAGAGGAACUACGUGAAAAUAGACGUUGUUCUGGUGCUGCCCAGCGCGCAGGGGCCUCUCUGGUUCUGCAUUACUGACGUACUGCACGACUUGCAGUUUGGAGGAGUUCGAGAGAGACAUCUGAGUGACUACACUCCUCAUCGCUAAAGUCUGGGAGCAAAUGAAACGGAUGAGAGAUGGCUGUGAGGACAUGACAACAGCGGGAAGGUGACAAAGGUUUACACAGAAGUUCAGGAAAGCAGUUUGGAGGUAUUUGCUUGACAUUAGUGUCUGACCCAGAGGGCAGGGUCAGAACUGACCAGUCUUGAGUUACAGGAUAUAUUCUGGCUAUAACAAUUCCAGUUUACUGCACAUCACUUCCCUCUGUGGCAGACCCUUCUUUCCUUCACACAGUCCCUUCCCAAAAAAUCUGCUUCCAUCAGAGAGAGGGACAAAUAAUUGGAAUGACAGCUUUAUUGCCAUCUAAAAUUGCUAAGAAAUAACAAAAAAACACCCAGUAAACCAGUCACUUAUUUUCCAUAGCAGCUUUAACACUUAGAAUAUAUGAACAUGAUGUUAACAGUAUCAUCUCUUGUAAUUAGCCUCAUUCAUAAAGACACUCAGCUUCUUCAGAAAAAGAUGGUGCCGUAAAUCAUUGAAACUGUGUUUCCUUCAGAUAAUACAUGAGCCUUUAUUAUUAGCAUGCUUUUAUUACCCUUUUGGGUGUACCUGCUGGAUCUGUAAGAAGGCUUUUGCCACAUCCCUGCUACUUCACCUUUUGUUCACGUGAAUGUCUACAGAAUAAAGGCAGAACCCAAAAUUCUGUGUUCCCUUUCCAGUAAUCCUGGGUAAACAAUUUCGUAGGUAUAUUACUAAUACAGUGAUGAAACUCAGCUAAAUCCUGAGCCUCAGAUGUUUUCUCCACAGGAAAUUUACGAGACUAAUAGUUUUCUUAAGUACCGUGGGAUCCCCCACUGGAUUAUGGUAGGGAAAGACAAAGGUUACAGAUAAAAAGCUUUUUCCUUCCACUGUCCACGUAACAAGAGAUUUCCAAGUACUCAUUUUCCUUCCCAACAUAAACCCCCUCUGAUGCUGCAUAACAUCACCUCAAACCACAUGUGUUUAACAGGAGAUAAAGACGAAGUCAGCCCAGUGUCUGUCAGCUAUGGGAACAAGACAGGAUAUGGCAGGAGGUUAUCCUAGUUUGUACAAAAAUACCCUGCUCUGGUAUGUUAAUCAGGUCGGACAGCAGGAUGAAAUGGUGCAUCCCUCACAUAUCUAUUCAUUACAUCCCAUACGUAUCUAUAUGAUAGUUGAAAUGCCUAGAAUAAAAACCUUGAAAUUAGGUAAUGUUUAAAGGAAAUGUGUCAGAUAUAGUAAUUUGAAAGUUCUCUGCAGUUCUUUGUGCAACUGAGCUCAUAAAAAAUGUCACUCAAGCUUGUGCGUUAGUGCUAUUCUUGUUAAUCUCAAGGGUCUCCCUGUCAUGAUAACAAAAAUCUAGAACUUUUCCUGAUGUUCCCCAGAGUAUUUGAGGGUCCCUGCUCUGCAUGGGCUGUAUUUUUGCAGGUAACAGACCCCAUAUACAGGUUACAAUCGAACAAUCCUUUGACCGUCCAGAGUCCUUCAGUCAGGUGAAGGGAACUGCAAACUGGAACGACUGGGUCAAACCCACUGAAAAAUGGACCAAAAUCAUACGUAGUCUGUGUUUCUACAGUGGUGUCGCCUUGACCCAUAUACAGGUCUAAACAUCUUGCAGUGCUCUGGCCUGCAUAAACUUUCAGGUUUUUGAGGUAUCAGCAUCAGCUGUCUGACAUAACCCUCCUAACUAUUGGACUUCUGUAAAGUGCUUGGCUUUAAACAGUAUUUAUAGCUGUGCUUUGAUUACAUCUCCCGAGCUUAAAGAAUUACAGAGUUCUCUUUAGGGACAACUGCUUUUCCAGCUGUUUAGUUCAGGCUUUGGGAUGAGCUCUAUUCCACCAUCCAGAUUUUAAACUGUGCUUUGAGAACAGCUAUUAAAGUCCUCCGUCUGUGAGGAAGUUAGUCAUUAGAUAAUGGGCAAAAUACUGCUACGCCUGAAACCACCAGUGGGUUUAGUGUUUAAAUGGUCGGAGUUAAUAGCUUCUACAAAGUCAUGAUGUUCUAGCAGGGUAGAACGUUCUCCCAAGUAUAAAUAUCGUUAAGUCUAUGGAGGUCCCAGAUGACUUUCACUGAAGUCUGAUCUAAUCGUGUGCUGUUGGUAUAGGGACUCCCUCACCACCAACAUGCCAGGCCAACACGUGCUGCUCUGCUGUGACUCCCAGGGAAGCGCAGGUGACUGGUGCCAGCAGUGCGGCUCUUCUCUGCAUACAGGCUGGCUUUACGCUCAUAAGCCCCUGCAAUUUGAGAGCAAUAAAAAUCAACCUAGUCCACACUCUUGAGUCUUCAAAUAUAUAAGCUUCUUUUCUCCACAGUCCUUUGCUCACGAUUUUAUAAUUCUCAUCUUCCCUUGACUACGUGCUCUGUGACUGCAUUAGCACCUGCCUCUGCACUUCUUAGACUCUCUAUUUUCCUAUUGUGUCAUGGAUACGUGAGUCAUCGUAUUUGUGAUCUGCUGAGCUGAGUGAGAGUCAUAGUAGGGUUGUGCGCUUCAAGGCCAUUAGUAACGCUGCUAAAACUUGCAUAAUGUAUUCUUCUGUGUCUAAAUCCCUGAGAGACUGAGUAACUGUUUUCUUUUUCACCCCAAGUGACUGUGCAACUGGAUGAGUCACUGCUGUUAUGAUAGAGGAAUUGUAAUCUUUGUGCCUUUCCAGUUUUGUUUGGCCAGAAAUGUAUUUUAUAGGACACCUUUGUUCAAUCUCCUCUAAAUCCUUAUAUGUCACCAGAGACCUUUUCACUGACUUCAGUUCACUUUAGACCAUGUGCUCUGGUCUGGAAACUGUGUUAGUUUAGGUUAUUGGUAAAACAGAUGGAGAGAAAUGUUCACCUUUAUCCAAUAACCUGGAAUAAUAUUACCGAGCUGUUUCAUCUCAUUAUUUAUGGAAGUAUUAGUGAAACUUAAAUGUAUUCAAAAGUAUUUAAAUAACAUUAAAUAAAAGCUUAUUUAAAAAGAAGAAAAAAAACCCAACCACCAAACCCCGAAACCAACAGAAACAAAGAUAUACUGGAUGGAAUAUUUUGUACAAAGAUCUGCAGUGACAUCUGGGAAUGAACCACAGAAGGGACUAGCAACAGAUGGCUGGUAAAAAGAAGGAGGGAGUGAAGGGUGGCCUUUUGUGGUAGGUGAGCUUGGUAUCCCUGCAAACAGCACGGGCUGCUCAGCCAGGGCCCUUUGUGGAGCAGGAUCUGCCCCCGAAGGGGCUGGCACUGUUGGAGCAGCCUCAGCCCUGCUCUGACAUGAGCUGGUAGUAACUGUCCCAGGAGGAGCCUUGCAGCCAGAGGCAUCACUGGAGCUUGGCACCCUCCCCCAUCCCCGCAGGCAAGACAGUGUCAGCGCAGAGCCAGGCACCAGCCCCUGCUCCGCCUGGCAAUGCUGAUCUAGGCUUGUUUUGAUGCUAGAGCAGCUCUGGCUGUACAGAGCAUCGAGGUUCCUGCUUUUAAGUAGCCACUUCACGGGUAGGUAGCCACAAAGCAAGCCAAUCUUCUACUCAGGCAUUGUCAAGCACCCUUACAAAUGUUGCUGAGUUUAUUGUUUCAAAUGUUUUCAUGAUUUUUCCUUGCCUGAUAUGUUUUUUUUUUUAUUAAGCCAGGAUUUAUUUCCCCUGUCUCUGUGACCCCAUCUCUCCCAUGAGAGCCUGCGCUGAAAUCCAGCUGGCCAGCCUUCUUGUAUCAGUGAUCACUGUGGCAGAACAGCUUCUAAUGAAACAACAGUGGGAGGAAAAGUCAGGAAUUUCUGGAUUUAAUCCUGCCUCAAGCAGUGACGAGUUGUGCGGCUUUAGGUGAGCCACAGGACUCUGUGAGUCAAUACAUAAAGUGAAAAAACCAGCAUAUCCCAGAGUCGCGGCAGGCUCCGUUUGUUCAUCUUUCCACACAGCAUAAAAUCAGAUGAGUGCCCGACCCAGUUUUUUCUUGUACUAAAAAGAGCAAUACAGGAUCACACUGGCCAUGGUCAAUUUUUUUUAGCUGGAGAUUUCUUUUCCGCUCUUUUUCCAUUGUCCCCCACACUGGUGCUGCUGCUUUCCAAGAUGCUCUGAGGCUAGUGAAACAGUUUUUUCUCAUAAAUCUUUUAAAUCAUGUAAAUCCUCCUGGACGUACCAGCUGACAUUUUAGAUGUGGUGUUUUGCACUUGUGCCAGGAAGCAUUUAGCAUGUUACAGUUGCUUAUGUUGUUGGGUUUUUUAAAGGAGGGAAAACGGUUCCUUCCUCUUGUGUCUCCAGCAGAGAGACUGUUUCUCCUUGAGGAAAGAGUUCACAUGAUCAUAUAGAUGCGUCAGAUCCCUUCCCUUCCCACAUUUGAUAUUUGCUAAGUUGAAUGAUUGUUAUUCCUAAGCCAGUAGCUGGGAUGGUUGUGGGAUUUAAUGUCUCCAGAGUAUUUUUUUCUUCUGUUCACAAGCUUUAACAAAUGAAGUCUAAACAUGAAAUCCUUCAACUUAGACUCAUUAAGCAAACACUCUCAGCCACGUUAUCUUCACAAAUAUUUCUCCCUGUUUGUUUGUUUAAAGCUGGCCAAGAGUUCCAGAAAUACUUUUAAGAUAACAAAAAUGGGCAUCCAGAUCAGAAAGGAACUCUGUAUUUAGAAACUCUGAAGUACUAUUCAGAGGUGGCUGUGCUGUUAACUCUUUUCUGGUUGCUCUGAACCUCCAUGGCAUUGGAGGAUGAGUCACAGCAUUUUUCUUUGUAUAAAUGUUUUUCCCAUCCUAGAUGAUUUAGAAAAAUGUACCCUAAGGGAGUGUAGUAAUACAAUACCAUCUGUAGUCCCAGCGUUAAUAGGGUUGUCCGAGAGAGACUCAGUCAAGCGGUUUCCCGAAGGCAGUGCAGGACAAGAGCUGACAAGGCUCAGUAUUCACUGCAUCCACGUGCACUGGGGGCAAAACAGCCACAAGCUUGUUUCUGGAAGGGGAAGAUCUGAGGGCUGAGUGUUGGUUUAUCAGGAGACCUUACAAACCAGCUUCCUGCUGCAGCGCACCCUUGAGAACACUGAGCCUUUACUACAAAUUCAGACACAGAGAUUUUUAAAAUGUAUGCUGAGGGUGCCCUGUUAUUGCAAAACUGGGAGUGUCCAUAGGAACCAAAAGCAGGGCACCUUGCUAAGCUUGACCUCUACAGGCGUUUCAGUGGCAGAACCAGAGUGAUUUCCCCCUAAUUCCUCAAACAAUUUCAUGCAAGAUCCAUCAAAGCAAAGCAGAAGCAGACAUGCUGGUGCCCAUGUAUAGGUCAGAAGAUUUCACUGCACUAACAGUGGUUUCUGGGCUGAGGAAUAGUCCCUGCAAGAACACAGAACCUGCAAGAACACAGUAAAAUGAGGUGUCUCUUUUCUUUUCCCUACUUAGAUGGGUUUAAUCUCACAACCUUCAAGCUGCCUACAAGUUUCUUGUUAGCCACCAGUGCAGCAGUUAGCAGACUUACUUCCCAAAUUGAUUUAAAUAUCGAAAAGCUGGUGACCUUCUGCCUUCAGCACAGAAGCGGUGUCUGUUGUGGAGCUGUUGGAGAGAUGAGGAUGAACUUUCUCUAGCAAUGAAGAGGCAUAAAGGAAUGAUUCUAGGUGUCCAGCUGACUACAUUUUUGUUCAACUCAUCCUUGAAGACUGAUGAGAAUUAAUUGUGUUAUUAAUGAGAUGUUACAGUGCCUGGAGACUUGGAUAAAUAAUAACUAAACAGGCCUUUUAGUCAAAAUAAAGAGGAUUUUCCCUCCUGGUUGCUCAGUUUGAGCCCUCGUUCCUGCAGGAAAGCAGGCAGCGCUGCUGUGGAGCACACAUCUCUUGUCCAAACAGUGAGAUGGCCUGCUGGUUGCCAUAGCGAUGAGAGAGUGGAGGCCAUUUGGGGUAGCAAUUCUACAACGCAAGCACCCGUUUGGUCCAGCAUCCCCUUGCUUAGCAGCUCAGCCAGCCAGCUCCCAGAAACUACAGCUUGAGAGGGCAGCCUGCAAAGCACCCAUCUACAGAGUGGACCAUUUUACAGAUAUUUAGCUGUUGUAGAGGUUGCUUCCUUGAACACGCCUUUGCAGGGUGGCCAACAUAUAGAAAUAUUUUGAAACAUACAAAUUAUAUUUUAUGAAAUAUAGAAAUAUAUGUUGAAAUAAUGGCAUGACUGUUGCACUGAUGACUUAAAGCAUACAUGGCAGGUCACAAAUAUUGCAGCCAUCUUUGCAUGCAGGGAGGAGCUAUUAGGCAGCAUAGCAAUUUGGGCAAAGGGUAUUUUGGAUUCUGACUGGCAUUUAUAUCUCACUCAGUAUCAGAGGGCAGGGAACCCAGACUCAAACACAGACCCAGACUUUUAGAUCAAAUAUAAGUGAAACUUUCUGACCCAGGACAGCCUGAAUGCUGGGCUUUUAUUAAAGGCUCUUCUGCAAGACCUUGUAUUAGACAUCCAACUCAGCAUUUUAAGGAGCUAAGGUCUUAAUGUAUGUCUUGAGGAAGCUGAUGUCUAUUUAAACACCAUCGCUAGAUUAUUCUUGAGAUGGAUAAUCUGAGUAAAGAUACUUGAUGCUUUAUCAGGCAAGUUUUACAAAGCUGCAAACAAUUACUUGAGAGAUGUUAUAAAAGGAAAUUGUUGAAUCAACAAAAUGAGUGGC